rnacentral:lncRNA from 10 species
CUUUUUAGGACCUAUUAAGAAUAAUAGGGCAAACAAGAUCCUAUACACAGGAAAAUAAAAAUUAUAUAAAAAGAACUAUUCAUGAGAAGAGUGUAAGAUAAUGCAAGCACAUGAAGAAAUCUACACUGGGGUGGAUGAAUCAUUACCCUGACUUCCCCUGGGAUUUUGCUUGCUGAUGCCCUCCUGCUGAGAUAGAUGUGCUUUUGCAAAGCAGAAUUGGAGGGGAGCGCAUGAACACAGUCACCCACUACUACAAACUGUGCAGUUGGGUUUCCCACAUUUGGGGAAAUGGCAGGGGUCAGCACAUCUGGAGUGUAAUGGAUGAGCCGUGCCCUGGAAAAACCACCUUUGUGAUUGUGAUAGCUCCUCUGCCAGGUUAGUAAUCUCUCCUGAUUCUUACCAUUCCCUCGUUGUGAGAUUGUUUCUUUGAAGUAAGAAAAUAUUAUCUUGAACUUAUAAAACUCUUUUUUUUUUAAAAAAACAAAAAUUUGGAACUAUCUCAUAUAUGAUAAUUCUUUAUCCUAACAGUAUUGCUAUGAAUACUAGUUUUAGGUAGCACUUAUUGAGUACUGUCUUUGUACCAGGCACUAUGCUUAGCACUUCAUGUUUAAUCCUCACAACUCCCUGAGGUAGGUAAUAUUACUGUGCCCAUUUUACAAGAGAGGGCUCAAAACCCAGGUUCAUGGAAGGCAAAAGACACAGAUGGGGAUAUUAAUACUCUGGCCUUCCUGAACUCCCCAUUAGACUGUGAACUCCUUGAAGUGUAGGGGGAGGGAGCAAUGCCUUACUAUAUCUUAGCUACAUUACAGUGCUGACCAUGUAGAGGAAAGUAGGGAGGAGGAAGCUAAGAUAGGACCUUUUCCUGGGAGUCAUGACAGUGGGCAAUCCUAGAUGUAGCAGGUGAAUGCGAGACCAAAAACUCUAAUUCUCAUACUUCAAAUGAGCUAAGAGAAAAAUCACAUUUGUAAAGGCAUUAGAGUAUAGAAACACUUCCACAAAAAUGAGAGAGUACAUGGAAAGUUAGGUGUUCAAAUUCACAUCUAAUUUCCCUGGGAUUAAAUUUAAUUAAUUACUGUCAAUUUGAUUUUUUAUUAUGAUGUAUACCCUUGAAGACUUAAAAUUUUUUUAUUAUAGUAAGCUAGUUCUUUGGUCCUCCUAUAAAGCUUUAUCAGCUUCUUCUUAUUUCCCUUUAAUGUUUCUUGUCAACUCACAUGUAUCUCUGCAAGGAAAAAGUUGUAGAAGGGGAACAAUAUAAGGUACUUAAAUUUCUCUGAGGCAGAAAACUUCAGGGUCUGAAUUUCUGGUGUUUGUGGGCCAGUCAAAAUAGUGAAGAAGCACUUAAAAGUGGUCUUUGGAAUUUUUAAUUUAAAUAUUUACCACUUUAUUCUGUUAGUAAAUGAGAUCAGGAAUAGUGAUUUGAUUAAAUCACAUGUAUCACCUAUAAAAGUGUUAAGCUCCUUUAUCAUUGUUUACACUGGGCUUCCCAAAGGCCAUCAGCAUCCUGAAGAAGCAUACAAGAGCCACCCAGGAGCCAUUUUCCUGCUCCUGCCCUAUUCAGAGACUCUCUAUUUUUGUCCAGAGUUCACAGUUUAGCACAAAGAUGUCCUGAGUUAUUUAAGCUUAUUUUGACUGUAUCCUGAAAUCCCAAGUGAAAAUAGUUUAUCCCAAAUUGGCCCAAAUGAAAAACAAAUCACACUGAAAAGAAACAAUUUCUUGUUCUUUGGACUGCUAAAUUACAUAUAUGUG